AUGUUGCAGGAAAGGAGAAUCGGGAGCGAGGAGAAAGAGGGCUUGACUUCAGGUGCAGCAGAAUUCCCCAGCCCCCCAAGGAUUUGAGACCCAUCAGCUUUCCUCACCUGGUUUUGCCAGCCGGUUGAAGCCAUUCCUGGGAUUGUGGCCCCUGAUUCAUCCUGACAGCUUCUGGAAGGCACAGGAUUUCCUUUCCUCCCACUCUGAAGAAGGUGAUGGAGAAGACAUUCAGAAUUCCAAGGAAUGGGGCACCUUUCGUUUCAUGAGGAAUAGAAAUUAAAAUGUGUGAAAUGUG